rnacentral:piRNA from 1 species
UNCACUGGUAAUGCGGAUUGGUGCUCUG